UACGGAGGGGGCGAGCGUUAUUCGGAAUGACUGGGCGUAAAGCGCGCGUAGGCGGAUCAGGAAGUUGGGGGUGAAAUCCCGGGGCUCAACCCCGGAAUGGCCUUCAAAACUCCUGGUCUUGAGUUCGAGAGAGGUGAGUGGAAUUCCGAGUGUAGAGGUGAAAUUCGUAGAUAUUCGGAGGAACACCAGUGGCGAAGGCGGCUCACUGGCUCGACACUGACGCUGAGGUGCGAAAGCGUGGGGAGCAAACAGG
rnacentral:rRNA from 1 species